rnacentral:rRNA from 1 species
AUUGAACGCUGGCGGCAGGCCUAACACAUGCAAGUCGAGCGGGGUUUUCGGACCUAGCGGCGGACGGGUGAGUAAUGCGUAGGAAGCUACCCGAUAGAGGGGGAUACCAGUUGGAAACGACUGUUAAUACCGCAUAAUGUCUACGGACCAAAGUGUGGGACCUUCGGGCCACAUGCUAUCGGAUGCGCCUACGUGGGAUUAGCUAGUUGGUGAGGUAAUGGCUCACCAAGGCGACGAUCCCUAGCUGGUUUGAGAGGAUGAUCAGCCACACUGGAACGGAGACACGGUCCAGGCUCCUACGGGAGGCAGCAGUGGGGAAUAUUGGACAAUGGGCGCAAGCCUGAUCCAGCCAUGCCGCGUGUGUGAAGAAGGCCUUCGGGUUGUAAAGCACUUUCAGUAGGGAGGAAGCGUUGUGUGUUAAUAGUACACAGCGUUGACGUUACCUACAGAAGAAGCACCGGCUAACUCUGUGCCAGCAGCCGCCGUAAUAC